AUAAAUAAAAAAUUUAUGAUUUAUGAAAUUUAAUAUAAGUUUAUUUUACAUAUUAAUUUUAGUGUUAAUUUAAUAUUAUUUUAAUAAUAAUAAUAAUUAAAGUAGUAAUUAAUAUUAAAAAUUUAAGAAAUUAAGAUUUAGUAAUACAAAAAUUAAUAACAAAUUUUGUGCCAGCAGUUGCGGUUAAACAAAAGUUAAUUUAAAUUUUUUUAGAUAUUAAUUAAUAAAUAAUAUUAAUAUAAUAAAAAAUUUAAUUAUUAGGUGAAAUUUUAAUUUUAUAAAUUUAUAUAAUUAAUUUAUGAAAAUUAAUAAAUUUAAAAUAAAAACUAGGAUUAGAUACCCUAUUAUUUUAAAAUUAAAUUUUUAUUCUAAAAUAGUAUGUAAUUAUUUAUUGAAACUUAAAUAAUUUGGCGGUAUUUUAGUUUAUUUAGAGGAACCUGUUUAUUAAUUGAUAAUCCACGAUUAAAUUUACUUAAUUUAAUAUUUUGUAUAUCGUUGUUAAAAAAAUAUUUUUUAAUGAUAAUAAUAUUUAAAAAUUAUUAUAAAAAUUAAAUCAGAUCAAGAUGCAGAUUAUAAUUAAGAAUAUAAUGGGUUACAAUAAAUUUAUUUAAAUGAAUAUUGAUUUGUAAAAAUUAAUUGAAGGUGGAUUUAAAUGUAAUUUUAUUUAAUUUAUUAAAAUGAUUUAAAAUUAAAAUAUGUACAUAUUGCCCGUCACUUUCAUAUAAAAAAUUGGAAUAAGUCGUAACAAAGUAGAGGUACUGGAAAGUGUUUCUAGAAAGAC
rnacentral:ncRNA from 1 species